rnacentral:sRNA from 1 species
GGGCGGGCGUCACUCUGCUCUUGCGACCUAGCCAGGUGUGAGGGAGUGACGGCCGCGCAUUCGCGGGAGGAGAGCGAUGGCUGAGAACGCCGCACCAGGUCUGAUCUCAGAGCUGAAGCUGGCCGUGCCCUGGGGCCACAUCGCAGCCAAAGCCUGGGGCUCCCUGCAGGGCCCUCCAGUUCUCUGCCUGCACGGCUGGCUGGACAACGCCAACUCCUUCGACAGACUCAUCCCUCUUCUCCCGCCAGACUUUUAUUACGUUGCCAUGGAUUUCGGAGGUCAUGGGCUCUCGUCCCAUUACAGCCCAGGUGUCCCAUAUAAUCUCCAGACUUUUGUGAGUGAGAUCCGAAGAGUUGUGGCAGCCUUGAAAUGGAAUCGAUUCUCCAUUCUGGGCCACAGCUUCGGUGAGUACACUGGCCAGGAGCUGACCGGGCCCGGAGUAGGGCUGGGAGGGAGGGAUAGGAGAUGCUGCCCCACCCUUUUCCCCUGCACUUAUGAGAUCUGCAAAGAGAGAUGAGAGGGUCAGUCAGAGAUUGGCCACUGUACCCUCUGACCUCAGGCAACUGCCGCAAGGGACACAGGGAUGAGGGAAAUGUGGUCUUUUGAGUGGUCACGUCUGAUGAAGGGGCCAUCAUGGCCCAGAUGCUGAGCCCCCAGCCACCCGUAUGGAGCCCCUCUCCCUCCACCACUGGUGGGAAGAAGCUUUAGGGUAUGCAGCUGGGGAGGGAGUGAGGGAAUGUCACCCACAGCUCUUUUGUACCCCAGGUGGCGUCGUGGGCGCAACGUUUUCCUGUACCUUCCCUGAGAUGGUGGAUAAACUUACCUUGCUGGACACCCUGCUAUUUCCCCUGGAAUCAAAUGAAAUGGAGAACUUGCUGACCUACAAGCGGAGAGCCAUAGAGCACAUGCUGCAGAUAGAGGCCUCCCAGGAGCCCUCGCACGUGUUCAGCCUGAAGCAGCUGCUGCAGAGCCAGAGAACAGCGCUGACUACGUCAGCAGGGAGCUGUGUGCGCAUUCCAUCAGGAAGCUGCAGGCCCACGUCCUAUUCAUCAAGAUCCCUUCUGAUACAAUCACAGCAACCCUGGCCUUGGCCCCGCCCUGUUCCUGCCAUGCAACUUCACAACUCAGCUGGCCUAGACUCCUGGGAGUCCUCCAAGUCCCUAGGCGGUUCCAGUUUGUGGAAGUCCCAGGCAAUCACUGUGUCCACAUGUGCGAACCCCAGCACGUGGCCAGUAUCAUCAGCUCCUUCUUACAGCGCACACACACGCUCCCAGCCCAGCUGUAGCUCUGGGCCUGAACUAUAAAGACCUAGUGCUCCCAGACUCAACUCGGGGACUCUGAGUUCCUGAGCCCCACAACAAGGCCAGGGAUGCUGGGGACAGGCCUCACUGGUCUUGAGGCCCAGCCUAGGAUGGUAGUCAGGGGGAGGAGCGAGAUUCCAACUUCAACAUCUGUGGCCUCAAGCGGGAGACAGAGUCUGGGUUCCAGGGCUGCUGUCUCCUGGCUAAUAAUCUCCAGCCAGCUGGAGGAAGGAAGGGUGGGAUGGGCCCACCUAGCCUUUCCCUGCUGCCCCACUGGAUGGAAAAUAAAAGGUUCUUGUAUUCUC